rnacentral:lncRNA from 1 species
GGAAAUCCAGCACUCACACAGGUGAAUUGUUCAUAUACUGCUUAAGGUUUUUUUUUUUUUUUCCCCCCUUAGUGGAGGGAAGUCUUUGAGCAGGAUGAUGUUCUCUGCUCUUCCAGAUGUUCUGUGGAUAAAACAUCAUUCACUUGGCCUGGAGAUGAUACAAACUCAUGCAAGAAAGGACGAGAUAAAAGAUCACAUGUUAAGGCAGAUAAAAUUCACAACACAAGUUCAAGCUUAUUUGAAAUUGAUUUAACACAUCAUUCAAAUCAAAGACAUUUAUUGGCUGCGGACAUUCCCAACAAAGAACUGAGGUGAGACUUUAACUCUUAAUUUUUAGAAGGUAAAUGUGAUUAGUUCUUACAGAA